CCUACGGGAGGCAGCAGUGGGGAAUAUUGCACAAUGGGCGCAAGCCUGAUGCAGCCAUGCCGCGUGUAUGAAGAAGGCCUUCGGGUUGUAAAGUACUUUCAGCGGGGAGGAAGGGAGUAAAGUUAAUACCUUUGCUCAUUGACGUUACCCGCAGAAGAAGCACCGGCUAACUCCGUG
rnacentral:rRNA from 2 species